UACAGAGGUCUCAAGCGUUGUUCGGAUUCAUUGGGCGUAAAGGGUGCGUAGGCGGUGUCGCAAGUCAGGUGUGAAAUCUCGGGGCUUAACCCCGAAACUGCAUUUGAUACUGCGGUGCUCGAGGACUGGAGAGGAGACUGGAAUUCACGGUGUAGCAGUGAAAUGCGUAGAUAUCGUGAGGAAGGCCAGUGGCGAAGGCGAGUCUCUGGACAGUUCCUGACGCUGAGGCACGAAGGCCAGGGGAGCAAACGGG
rnacentral:rRNA from 1 species